UGUGCUUUUUCAGAGAUACCACGAUGCAAUUUGCUGCCUUGUUAAUCACCAAGCCUAUGAGUCAAGACAUGGAAGUAAGAAGACUAAUGAUUGCUGAUGGAUGUUGUUUAAACUAAUUCAAUCACCAAUUAGAGACAAUGGAUCUUUCUGGAAUGUUAAUGAAACUUAAGAAACAACCAAUCAGAACUCUUCAAUUAGCUGGACAUUUUAAUCAGAUGCAGUUCUCACUCCAGUCUUCAUUGAUUUGAAUAUACUGUACGUGCAUGAAGAGAUGAGGAUUUACUGGUGUAUGCAAUGCAUACCAUCUGUCGUCAUAUUUCGGUUCUGCAUCAGUAACCCCCUAUGUUCAACUAAGCCUCUUCAACUAUUAUUAGAUUUUAAUUUCAAAAAUAAAGAUUACAUGAAAAUUAAUUUCAAAUAGGUUAAAGUAUUCAAAUUUUAUUUCAUCAUUCUGUCAAAGUUGGAAUAACAAAUAUGAGCAAUAAAAAUUUA